rnacentral:rRNA from 1 species
AUUGAACGCUGGCGGCAUGCCUAACACAUGCAAGUCGAGCGGAUGAAGGGAGCUUGCUCCUGGAUUCAGCGGCGGACGGGUGAGUAAUGCCUAGGAAUCUGCCUUGUCGUGGGGGAUAACGUCCGGAAACGGGCGCUAAUACCGCAUCCGUCCUGAGAGAGCAAGUGGGGGAUCUUCGGACCUCACGCUAUCAGAUGAGCCUAGGUCGGAUUAGCUAGUUGGUGGGGUAAAGGCCUACCAAGGCGACGAUCCGUAACUGGUCUGAGAGGAUGAUCAGCCACACUGGAACUGAGACACGGUCCAGACUCCUACGGGAGGCAGCAGUGGGGAAUAUUGGACAAUGGGCGAAAGCCUGAUCCAGCAAUGCCGCGUGAGUGAUGAAGGUCUUCGGAUUGUAAAGCACUGUAAGUUGGGAGGAAGGGAAGUAAGUUAAUACCUGGCUGUUUUGACGGUACCAACAGAAUAAGCACCGGCUAACUUCGUG